AGAGUUUGAUCCUGGCUCAGGAUGAACGCUGGCGGCGUGCCUAAUACAUGCAAGUCGAGCGGCAGCGGGCUCACAGUUUAUUUCUCACCUUCGAGAUAAGGAGUAGCGAUUUCAAAGAAGUCGCGUCCUCAAAUCGAAGGAGUGAAGCUUCCGGACUAGUAUUAUUCAAUGAAUACUAGAACAGAGGUGAGGAAUAAAGUGUGAGCGCCGGCGAGCGGCGGACGGCUGAGUAACGCGUGGGAACGUGCCCCAAAGUGAGGGAUAAGCACCGGAAACGGUGUCUAAUACCGCAUAUGAUCUUCGGAUUAAAGCUUUAUGCGCUUUGGGAGCGGCCUGCGUCCGAUUAGAUAGUUGGUGAGGUAAAGGCUCACCAAGUCGACGAUCGGUAACUGGUUUGAGAGGAUGAUCAGUCAGACUGGAACUGAGACACGGUCCAGACUCCUACGGGAGGCAGCAGUAAGGAAUCUUCCACAAUGGGGGCAACCCUGAUGGAGCAACGCCGCGUGCAGGAUGAAGGCUUUCGGGUCGUAAACUGCUUUUAUGAGUGAAGAAUAUGACGGUAACUCAUGAAUAAGGAUCGGCUAACUACGUGCCAGCAGCCGCGGUCAUACGUAGGAUCCAAGCGUUAUCCGGAGUGACUGGGCGUAAAGAGUUGCGUAGGUGGUCAGUAAAGCGAAUAGUGAAAUCUGGGGGCUCAACCUCACAGGCUAUUAUUCGAACUCACUGACUCGAGAACAGCAGAGGUAACUGGAAUUUCUGAAGUAGGGGUAAUAUCCGUAGAUAUCAGAAGGAACACCAAUGGCGUAGGCAGGUUACUGGGCUGUUUCUGACACUGAGGCACGAAAGCGUGGGGAGCGAACCGGAUUAGAUACCCGGGUAGUCCACGC
rnacentral:rRNA from 1 species